AUGGCUACGUCCAAGGCAUUCCCAGCUCUGGUCCUUCUGGCGCUGGUCUGCGGCCAGCUCGUGGUCGGCGGCCAUGCCCAGGCGUACAUCGGAGGGGGAGGAUCUGCUGCCGGACUGCGGCCACCGACUUCCACCACUACCCAUGGCCACUCCUCCACCAUUGGAGGAUACGACGGAGCUGCAUGGCCUUCAGCCAUGGAAGAAGACAAGGCCUUCAUGGUCAACAGCCUGCCGGCGCACGACCGCCCAGGUGACUCUGUUUCUACCAUCAUCAUCAGGGGUAUAAAAGCAGAGUACCACUGA
rnacentral:rRNA from 1 species